UCGGUUCCGGUUCACGCUCGAUAGCUCCAGGUAAGGCACGGGCGACCCGGCGGCC
rfam:Mycobacterium sp. 1482268.1 contig_134, whole genome shotgun sequence.